rnacentral:sRNA from 1 species
GUAAAAUAUAUUCUAUCACGUGACAUUGAAGACAAAAGUCUAUUGAUAUAAGUCAAAAGUUAAAAAGAAAGUGUGUGUGCUAGACAGAUGUCUGACUAAUUCUCUCUCUGCUGUCAAGGAUUGAAGUAUUUUCAUAUCAGGUUCCAUCGUUUUAGAGACAAACAUGUACCAAAGAAUGUUCUCCGCUGCACUUGUCCUGGGAUUGUUGGGUCAAGUUGUUUCUGAGGACUUAGAGUCAAUUCUAGCAUCUAUCAGUCAACAAUGUAAAUCUCAAGCCAUAUCCUGCCUAUAUUCAGACACCACGGUUACAAAUCUAAUCGUGUCUUCAAAAUAUUGUGAAGUCAUUAACUAUUUGACUUCUCUGAGUUGUCUGGUCGGGUGUACCCAGAGCGAGUACGACAGAGUGAAAAAUGCUGCAUGUGGAACAACUGGUCAGCCCGUUGUCUCUACUGUGAGCCAGUCUAACAGAGUGCAAAGUACUGUAAGUGGAACUAGCCCAUCGACUGGUCAUCCUGGUACCGUAGAUGCCUCUACUGUGAGCCAGUCUACAAGAGUACAAAGUAAUGUAGAUGUCUCUACUGUGGGCCAACUCGGCAGGGGGGAAAAUUCUGCUGAUGGAGCAAGUUCUCAAAUAGUUAGAUUUGUUUCUCUUGUAUUACCUUCCCUUGUUUUUCUAUUUACAAAAGUCCAAUAAAAAAAUAUUUGGAAACCUAA